AGAUGGAUAGCUUAGUGGUAGAGCAUUCGACUGCAGAUCGGAAGGUCCUCGCGGUUCAAACCCGAGUUCCCAUUUU